UGGCCUAGUGGUUAAGGCACCAGGCUAGCAAGCAGGAGACCAUGAGUUCAAGUCUCGU
rnacentral:tRNA from 1 species